AAUGUGUAUAGCCGUUUAUUAUAUCGCGCAUCGAUUCUUUGCUCGUCGCUAGAAAUCCUGAUCUGAAAUAUCUGCGAUUUUCCAUUAAAAAAAGAGAAAUUAAAAAAAUUCCAGCAGUCCUAUCCUCUACAGCCGCCCCUGAUAUUGUCAACCGUCCGUUGGCACUUAUCCUCCCACCGUUCAAUUCUCCUCUCCCUCUGAUAUUUUCAACGAGCUCAGAUUUUUGGCUAAUAGCCUUAUCCUGCAGCAACCGGUCUCUCUCUCCCUCUGAUUUUUCUUGCCGAUCAUCAGCCGUCGUCCUCAUCUGUUCGCGCAAUCAAGAAAAAUCAGGCCCCGUCUUCAUCCUUUCAGCAGCCGCAAGCUCCAGCUCUUGUCCGUACCGGCCACCGCCCCAGCCUGUCGAUCUCAUCUCCCUGUGAUUUUUUAUCAGCCGUCGGGGGGAGAAAAAUCUUCCCUGUUCUUAUCCCCUCGUCGCCCUGCUCAGAUUUUCUAGCCACCGCUGUACUGAUAUUUUGGCGCGCGAUGCCUAUUCCUUGCGCGCUCCUCUCUGCCGAGCGGCUUCUUCACGCGUGUCUCUCUCUCCCUGGUGCCUGCUCGCGACAAGCUCCUGCUCCCUUCCGUGGUCGCGUGCUCAGCUCUACUGCAGGCCGCGCCCAGCUUCUCUCCCUCGGCGCUCACAGCUCUCUCUCUCCCCUAGUCCCUGCCAUGGCCGCCGUUCCCUGGUCGGAGUUUCUUCUAGCUCGGAUCUCCUCCCUACGGCGCCCGAGCUCCAUGGCUGCUGCGUUCUUCAGCCGACGCGUCCUGCCGAGUCCUUCUCCAUCCCCACGGCGUCCUGCUUGCCCAGCUUUCAUCCAUGGCCGGAGCCCUCCCAUGUCACGUCCCAGCCAAGCCCCUGCCUCGAUCCCUGUCCGGGCCUGGCGGUUGCGCUGCUCUGGUGCCCAGGCUCUAGCGCGCUCGUCAUCAGCUCGACAUCUCCUCGAGCUCGCCCCUGUCUUCCUGCUCGGCGCCCAAAUUCCUGCUCGCCUUUGCGUCGCGCGCGUAGCGUUCCGUUGUUUCUACGCGUGCUGCCGCGAAGCUCUCUGUUCAGUUCACCUCCAUCGCGUUGUCGUGCGCGCGAAAUUGCUCGCUCCACGCUAUCGUCGUUUCCUCGUGCCCGCUGGUCGUGCGCCCCUGCAGCUCCCUGUUCGGCAAAAUGUGUGGACCAGUGCUCGUCGCGUGUUGGGAAGAUCGGCACCGAUGUUCUUGCCGAAUAUUGAUUGUUUGAUUUUGGGGAGAUCGACGCACGCAUGGUGUUCGAUGAAUGGCUCAAACCGGAUAGCCUUGUCGAAAUCAUAGCUCCGAGUCGAUUCGGACAUGGUACGUGAAUUAACCACGCGAUGCGGAGAACCAGAACUGAUCGACCACAAGAUGGUGCUGAUGAACGGAACUGGAGAUGGACAGACGAAGCAAGUAUCGGGACAAAGGAUGGUCGUCAAGUGAUCGACGCCUAACAAACACUAACCUAGUGUUACCCAGGCAAGCCCCGGUGCAUGCAACCCCUUCCUUGUGUUUUCAAAUAAUUUCUGCACACUUUAAGUCUAGUGAAAUGUGCAUUCGGUUUAUAGGAGUUGCUUGGAACCUUUUGAUGCAUUGCCUUCCUUGCUAUCCACACCUAUAUAGGUACUUCUGGUGAAGUAUCAAAACAUGAUUUACAAAAAUGCUUAGCCCUGCUUAGAUCUUGUGGAUAGAGGUUGUCCUUAGCCUAGCUCGAGAAAGGAUGGCUUCUACCUGCAAGAAUAUUUUCAUUGAGAGCGUGGUGGGAUCUUACUGUAAAGUUCCCUUUGAUGCUCUUUUCAUCCUAAGGAAUACAAACAAUCCUAAGGGUGGAAGUACUUAAAUCGGGACUUGGGCUAGGAGCAGGUGAUGCUCCGCCCGGGUCAAUUAAGGAUUGGAUGCGUAUGUAGGCCUGAUAGAUCAAGGACUAUCUUAACUGGCCACAUGCCCUGGAAAUGGGACAGGGUAAGCUUGAACCCGGCUAUUCCAUACGUGAAAAGACAACCGCGCACUGGGCGUGGGAGAUGGUGGGAGUAGCGUGUGCCCUCCUGGCUAGAGGCUGGAUGGAGGACUACUGUGCUCCCGGGUAGCGCGGACCGGUUCACGUUGUGGAGGAUCUGUGGGAACGGUUGACAUAUGCAAGGGUUAAGUGCUACAUAUGUCGUGUGGUUAGAGAUCCUUAGCUGAGUAAAUCGAUUCGGAUCGCCGUUAUAUCCCCGGAGAGUGGAGACUUGAUCACUGACCUGCAACCUAAGUCAGGAUAUGAACCUCAUGAAUAAAAAUGAUGUUGUAUUGAUGAGAUGGUGAAAUUAGAUCAGAUGCAAACAGAGUCUAUUAAUACUUAAUUCGGCGUUAAAAUGUUGAAAGUAAGGACUCACUUUAGUAAGCUAUUUCUGCAAAAGUAUCUAAGUUGAUUUUUGCUAAAGCCUCUUCUUGAUUCCUAUUUAUCCAGCAUACCCUUGAGAGUCUUUUCCUUAGUCGGGUAAGACUUGCUGAGUAAUUCCAUACUCAGGGUUUUAUUCCCUGUUGUUUUUCAGGUUCUAACCUUGUGCUGCUGUAAUGGUGUUAAGUGCCGGUGGGCUCGGCCUUCUUAUAAGUCUAAGUAACCCUUCUAUACUUCUUAUUGAGGAUGGUCGUUUGAGCUAGCAUAUAUUUCAAACAUAUACUUUUGUAAUCACUCCGAUAAAAUAAUGUAAAAUUUUUGUAACUUGUAAAAUUUGGUAACAAGAUUUCCGCUGCAAAAAUAUUGGUGUGUGUGAUUUGUGUUACUUAAUCCCGUGGUUCUGGUUGUAAGUGGUUUAUCUGAGGUCCUUGGGACACUCGGACGGAUCCUGUUAAGUUAUUUGGUGCACAUGCAUAGCCGUCUGAGGUCUUUGAGACAAGGACAGGUGCAUGUGGGCCCAAUAACUUGGGAGGUUCUGCCACAGCUGGUAUCGGAGCUGGAUUAAGGAUAUACAGUCACAUACGUAUUUUCAAAACAAAAGUUUUGGUUUUAGAAAACCUAUUUUCAACUAAACACAUUGUUUGGUUUUGAAUUACAGCUUUGAAAAAAACUAUAAUGCUAGCGACAUCCUCUGUUAAGCCCUAAAUUAAGGACUAUCAGGUGGCUUAGUUGAAAACCCAUAACCGGGUGGGUAUUGCAUACAUGUGUAUUGUUAUUUUUGAGGCCAUUCAGUUCUGAAUGGAUCGGCACUCAGGUAAGGUGAGAUGUGAGAGCAUGACCGAACAAACAUCGGUCUAGGGAAGUGCUUAAUUGUGGCGCCUGACUAUAUACAUGUUCUACAUAUGUAUAUAUGAAGGCUGCGAUGUGGAGUAUUUACUUUUCUGGGUUUCAGUACCCCAUGUGUGUGUAUGGGUAUACAGACAUGGGAAUACUGAGAAAUGUAAUGUACUUGUAACGACGCACCUACGCUCAGGUAAGAAGGUGAGUUACCAUAAUGAGUUGCCCUAUGGUUAAAGUGUGGCAACGGUGCCUAUGCGUGGCUCGGCGCUUAAUGAUGAGCUGGCCUCCAUAUAGAAAUAUAUGGAGUAUAAAUUGUGAUAAACUGUCAUGUGUGACUUGCAUCAUUGGGAAUUGGGCUGUAAUGGAUUUUCUGCAGGUACACUAACCUCGAAAACGUAUGUGUAGCUGACGACUAGAAAAAUACCGUGAGAGAACGUAUGCCACCGAUAUAGAACGUUAUUGCCACAAUAUGUUGGCAAAAUUAGUGAGGACGAAUAGGACGAGCAUGCAUCCUGAUUGUUGCAUCAUGUUUGUCACCUAUACACCCAAAAUGCUUCUCUCAUCCUUAUUCCGGAAACCAGUGAUUGUAGAUAAUCUGGUGUAAUGUUGAAUUAUGAACUUCAAUAAAAUAGUUGUUCUCCAUUCCUUAGGUAUUAUGUUUAGAUGCUAUAUAUGUGCUCUUGUGCUUAAUGUGUCGAUAGAAGGUUAGUGACUUGUUUGCCUAAACCCAAAUCUAGGCCAUGUUCUUAGUUGGUGAACCAUGACCAAAGUUGAUUUUUUCGUUACCCCUCCUUGACCCAAACUUAUACAAAUAAAUGCUUAGAUAAUUUCUUCGUUGGACAAAAAGGGUACUUAAGCUUAAAAUAAGAAUCUCGACUCAUAUUUUCAUCUUAGACCAUGCCCUUAUUCGGUUGGCGCAAGCUGAUAUCCCUAAUUCCAGCUUGCCUGUUCUUGAUAAUCACAUCAUUGCUUUAUCGACCCAACCUAGGAAAGACAAGUCUCAUCAUUUUCUUGAGUUUGAUGCCUUUGAUUUCCUCAUUUCUAUUGAAGGCAUACCAACUUAAUCUUAUGAUUGUUUUCCCUCCGUAUCUAAUCAGAUACUCAUCCUUGACCUUGUAAUCUCUAUGAUGGGCAUAGAAAUAUGCUUGGGGCUGAAUUAACAGUCUCCCAUCGUACUCCUUUCAACAAGUUUAGGUUAUGGCCAUGCCUUGUUCAUUUCAUCGGGCCAUGAUCUAUUUGGUUCUCUGCUUGUAACCAUCUUUACUGGUGGAGUAUCUCUUUGUAUAUUGUCACCCUUGCUCAAUCUAUUGGUGUCGCGCGAGAUUUCUUAUUGGUUACGUCUUGUAAUGGUGUUGUGACUAAAAUCGAUGGUGCCGCGAUGAAACCGAGGGCCUCCUGUGGACGAUCGACACACGGUUGUGCUGCUCGGCACACGCUGGUAUCACGAUUAGUAGUUGUGAUCCAUUAUGAGACUAUAUCAAUGGGUUAUCUUGGCACGAUCUAUUUCUGCUACAUAAGAUUCAUUAUUGGUGCUAGUUCGAUGAUGGUGUCCUAGUCAAUAACUUAGGGUGCCGCGUAAAUCCGAAAGUCUCAUGUGGCGGCCGACACAUGGUAGUACUAUUCGGUACGCUAGUAUCGAAGUUCUUGGCUAUGAUCCAUUAUGGAACCACACUAACAUGCUAUCUUCCGUAGAUCUCUUCCUUGAAACGAUUCCGGUGUUGUUUGUCGAAGUGACCAAGCAACAUCUGUCAUCUUCAUUGGAUCAAAAGGGCAUACCACUCUCAUGUGUGGUCUUAUUUAUUUUGAUCUUGGUAGUGACUACUCAUACCCGUUCCCUUUACGUCCUUUGUGUAAAGGUGAAGCCUUGGAGUUUUUUUAGUGUCAAGGGACAACUGAUUAGCUCUCAAUAUGGAGAUCUGUUUCCCCUGCUGCUGAGAUGCAGGAGUUUGUUCAUUCGCUCUCUUAUUUAAUCCAUGUAUUCCCUAACCAAGUGGAUAAUGCGUCUCGCAUGAAGAAACGGAUAAACAACAUGACCAAAUGGAUUUCUGCCCAAAUGCAUGACCAACUGUUAAUAUGAGUGAACUCUCAACCCUUGGCUUACCGAGGGUACUGAGAGGACCUGCUCAAUGUCAAAAGUUGAUCAACAAGUUGGUUUUGACUAACUUGUAACUGCCCAAUGAACAAAGGUUGAGUUUAGAGAUCGAUUUGUCGAGUUAUCUAAACUCACUUUGGUUCAGCCCAUCCUGAGAAAGUACUUACAAAAAUCAAGUUAAAAUCGAUUGAUAACCACCUAGUUAUCGCUCUAGUCAUGUCUCGAUCGCCUCGCGUGUGCUUUUCCCAGCAUGUGUGAUCAUGUCGAGUCGUGACUAGUGCUGGAUAAACAGGAUUGGUUGCGAAGUCAACAUCAACGGAUUUCUUCGUUGAUAUUUUACGAGUCUUUAUCAUUUCUCUGGGACUUGGAUUUUCUGGCUAGCCACGGGUCAACUGUGGUGUUGUUCGCCAUCCGCACUUGUCACGUGUGCUAUGAGCUUACAUAACCACUUGUUGGUAAACCUCUUUCUGUGUGUUUUACCCAAGAUGGUGCAUCUGGUUCUGUUUGGGUAAGAUCGUGUAUUUACCGCUCGCCCAAUAGACUCAGAUAGUACAAUGUCAUCAGAAAAAGCAAACUGCACACAUGGAACCUUAUGUGUUCCUCUGGCAGACAUGGUCUCUAUUGGUGGACAUUUCUGAAUUAGCAUAAGGCGAUGCAUGUUAUGUCCACUAGAGAAACCUCAUCCUGAGACACUUGCCUUCGCUCAGAACUGCCUUAUGAUUACCGCUGAUAUGGACGUGGGUUACAUGCUUCUCUACUCUUGAAAGUCUUUCGCUCCGAAUCUCGGGACGAGAUUCUUUUAAGGGGGAAGGGCUGUAACACCCCAGGUGUUUAUAUUCCGCUCGACGAUGAGUACGAAUUUAAGCACGUAAUCAGUGGAUAAGACAGAUGUUAAAUUUUAGGCAUCUUCGCCUUUCGCGAUUUUAAUAUCGCAUCUGUUUCGUCGGUCGCGAGUUCGACAUCGGUUGUAUCUAUCCGGGCUCUUCCUAAAUUUUCGUGAUGUUCGGAACAUCGUUGUUCUGAAAAUCGUUGCGUCCGGUGACUAUUUAAAAAUUCAUCGCUCGCACGGAUACGAAUUCGGAAGCUCGACCCACUGGGUGAUUUGUAUCCCGAACAAAUUAAUUUGAACUCAACGACUAAAAUGUUCGGGGCAAAAUAAUUUGUGUCGCGCGAACUCGUGCGCGAGGUUAAGAUCUAAUUUAUCCGUCCGCACGCUGUUUUGGCGACGAAAUCGCGUAUACGUUCGCGGAUUUGGUUUCGGCUAAUUUCGGUCGAAUCAUGUAGAGCAGAUUAAAAUACCGAAGCCGAACUCGUGUCGAUCUGGUCCGUUUAUAUCGUGGCCGGAAUAGUCACGAAAAUUAUCUAAACUAAUCUUAGUCAGAAUCGUAAAUCUCGGAUGUUCUGUUUCAGGAUCCGAGGAAAUAAUGUGUAUAGCCGUUUAUUAUAUCGCGCAUCGAUUCUUUGCUCGUCGCUAGAAAUCCUGAUCUGAAAUAUCUGCGAUUUUCCAUUAAAAAAAGAGAAAUUAAAAAAAUCCCAGCAGUCCUAUCCUCUACAGCCGCCCCUGAUAUUGUCAACCGUCCGUUGGCACUUAUCCUCCCACCGUUCAAUUCUCCUCUCCCUCUGAUAUUUUCAACGAGCUCAGAUUUUUGGCUAAUUGCCUUAUCCUGCAGCAACCGGUCUCUCUCUCCCUCUGAUUUUUCUUGCCGAUCAUCAGCCGUCGUCCUCAUCUGUUCGCGCAAUCAAGAAAAAUCAGGCCCCGUCUUCAUCCUUUCAGCAGCCGCAAGCUCCAGCUCUUGUCCGUACCGGCCACCGCCCCAGCCUGUCGAUCUCAUCUCCCUGUGAUUUUUUAUCAGCCGUCGGGGGGAGAAAAAUCUUCCCUGUUCUUAUCCCCUCGUCGCCCUGCUCAGAUUUUCUAGCCACCGCUGUACUGAUAUUUUGGCGCGCGAUGCCUAUUCCUUGCGCGCUCCUCUCUGCCGAGCGGCUUCUUCACGCGUGUCUCUCUCUCCCUGGUGCCUGCUCGCGACAAGCUCCUGCUCCCUUCCGUGGUCGCGUGCUCAGCUCUACUGCAGGCCGCGCCCAGCUUCUCUCCCUCGGCGCUCACAGCUCUCUCUCUCCCCUAGUCCCUGCCAUGGCCGCCGUUCCCUGGUCGGAGUUUCUUCUAGCUCCGAUCUCCUCCCUACGGCGCCCGAGCUCCAUGGCUGCUGCGUUCUUCAGCCGACGCGUCCUGCCGAGUCCCUCUCCAUCCCCACGGCGUCCUGCUUGCCCAGCUUUCAUCCAUGGCCGGAGCCCUCCCAUGUCACGUCCCAGCCAAGCCCCUGCCUCGAUCCCUGUCCGGGCCUGGCGGUUGCGCUGCUCUGGUGCCCAGGCUCUAGCGCGCUCGUCAUCAGCUCGACAUCUCCUCGAGCUCGCCCCUGUCUUCCUGCUCGGCGCCCAAAUUCCUGCUCGCCUUUGCGUCGCGCGCGUAGCGUUCCGUUGUUCCUACGCGUGCUGCCGCGAAGCUCUCUGUUCAGUUCGCCUCCAUCGUGUUGUCGUGCGCGCGAAAUUGCUCGCUCCCCGCUAUCGUCGUUUCCUCGUGCCCGCUGGUCGUGCGCCCCUGCAGCUCCCUGUUCGGCAAAAUGUGUGGACCAGUGCUCGUCGCGUGUUGGGAAGAUCGGCACCGAUGUUCUUGCCGAAUAUUGAUUGUUUGAUUUUGGGGAGAUCGACGCACGCAUGGUGUUCGAUGAAUGGCUCAAACCGGAUAGCCUUGUCGAAAUCAUAGCUCCUAGUCGAUUCGGACAUGGUACGUGAAUUAACCACGCGAUGCGGAGAACCAGAACUGAUCGACCACAAGAUGGUGCUGAUGAACGGAACUGGAGAUGGACAGACGAAGCAAGUAUCGGGACAAAGGAUGGUCGUCAAGUGAUCGACGCCUAACAAACACUAACCUAGUGUUACCCAGGCAAGCCCCGGUGCAUGCAACCCCUUCCUUGUGUUUUUAAAUAAUUUCUGCACACUUUAAGUCUAGUGAAAUGUGCAUUCGGUUUAUAGGAGUUGCUUGGAACCUUUUGAUGCAUUGCCUUCCUUGCUAUCCACACCUAUAUAGGUACUUCUGGUGAAGUAUCAAAACAUGAUUUACAAAAAUGCUUAGCCCUGCUUAGAUCUUGUGGAUAGAGGUUGUCCUUAGCCUAGCUCGAGAAAGGAUUGCUUCUGUCUGCAAGAAUAUUUUCAUUGAGAGCGUGGUGGGAUCUUACUGCAAAGUUCCCUUUGAUGCUCUUUUCAUCCUAAGGAAUACAAACAAUCCUAAGGGUGGAAGUACUUAAAUCGGGACUUGGGCUAGGAGCAGGUGAUGCUCCGCCCGGGUCAAUUAAGGAUUGGAUGCGUAUGUAGGCCUGAUAGAUCAAGGACUAUCUUAACUGGCCACAUGCCCUGGAAAUGGGACAGGGUAAGCUUGAACCCGGCUAUUCCAUACGUGAAAAGACAACCGCGCACUGGGCGUGGGAGAUGGUGGGAGUAGCGUGUGCCCUCCUGGCUAGAGGCUGGAUGGAGGACUACUGUGCUCCCGGGUAGCGCGGACCAGUUCACGUUGUGGAGGAUCUGUGGGAACGGUUGACAUAUGCAAGGGUUAAGUGCUACAUAUGUCGUGUGGUUAGAGAUCCUCAGCUGAGUAAAUCGAUUCGGAUCGCCGUUAUAUCCCCGGAGAGUGGAGACUUGAUCACUGACCUGCAACCUAAGUCAGGAUAUGAACCUCAUGAAUAAAAAUGAUGUUGUAUUGAUGAGAUGGUGAAAUUAGAUCAGAUGCAAACAGAGUCUAUUAAUACUUAAUUCGGCGUUAAAAUGUUGAAAGUAAGGACUCACUUUAGUAAGCUAUUUCUGCAGAAGUAUCUAAGUUGAUUUUUGCUAAAGCCUCUUCUUGAUUCCUAUUUAUCCAGCAUACCCUUGAGAGUCUUUUCCUUAGUCGGGUAAGACUUGCUGAGUAAUUCCAUACUCAGGGUUUUAUUCCCUGUUGUUUUUCAGGUUCUAACCUUGUGCUGCUGUAAUGGUGUUAAGUGCCGGUGGGCUCGGCCUUCUUAUAAGUCUAAGUAACCCUUCUAUACUUCUUAUUGAGGAUGGUCGUUUGAGCUAGCAUAUAUUUCAAACAUAUACUUUUGUAAUCACUCCGAUAAAAUAAUGUAAAAUUUUUGUAACUUGUAAAAUUUGGUAACAAGAUUUCCGCUGCAAAAAUAUUGGUGUGUGUGAUUUGUGUUACUUAAUCCCGUGGUUCUGGUUGUAAGUGGUUUAUCUGAGGUCCUUGGGACACUCGGACGGAUCCUGUUAAGUUAUUUGGUGCACAUGCAUAGCCGUCUGAGGUCUUUGAGACAAGGACAGGUGCAUGUGGGCCCAAUAACUUGGGAGGUUCUGCCACAGCAGAGAGGGGCACGAACGCGGCGCUAGGCGGUCGACGGUGAUGGCGGAUCGACGUUGUGUAGAUUCGCGCACCCUGGACGGCCACACGCCCAACGACCCCACUGCACAGGGUCAGGGCACGCUGAGCUUCCACAAACGCCCCACAAGCACCAGACAAUGGUGGCGACGCGCCUCCCCACCCACGGCCGAACGGGUUCAGGUGUUCCCUCCCCUCCUCACACGACGCAACGAUCUUUUGGUGGAGGUGAGGAUGCACAAGGAGGAGACUAGGACGGCACUGGGAUCGUGGCCAUGUAAAUAGGCAUGGACUGGGCCAGGGCGUCGCAACAACUCUUGCGGCAUUCGCGCGCCACCGCCAAGCUCGGUGAGUUCGUUGCGAGGGGAAGAUCUGACGGGAGGGGGCCACUAGUCAGUGGGGCAACACGCGCAGGUGU